CUUACCUGGUCUUGACAUCCACAGAACUUUCCAGAGAUGGAUUGGUGCCUUCGGGAACUGUGAGACAGGUGCUGCAUGGCUGUCGUCAGCUCGUGUUGUGAAAUGUUGGGUUAAGUCCCGCAACGAGCGCAACCCUUAUCCUUUGUUGCCAGCGGUCCGGCCGGGAACUCAAAGGAGACUGCCAGUGAUAAACUGGAGGAAGGUGGGGAUGACGUCAAGUCAUCAUGGCCCUUACGACCAGGGCUACACACGUGCUACAAUGGCAUAUACAAAGAGAAGCGACCUCGCGAGAGCAAGCGGACCUCAUAAAGUAUGUCGUAGUCCGGAUUGGAGUCUGCAACUCGACUCCAUGAAGUCGGAAUCGCUAGUAAUCGUAGAUCAGAAUGCUACGGUGAAUACGUUCCCGGGCCUUGUACACACCGCCCGUCACACCAUGGGAGUGGGUUGCAAAAGAAGUAGGUAGCUUAACCUUCGGGAGGGCGCUUACCACUUUGUGAUUCAUGACUGGGGUGAAGUCGUAACAAGGUAACCGUAGGGGAACCUGCGGUUGG
rnacentral:rRNA from 1 species